UUUUUUUUUUGUUUAUUUAAUUUUUGUAAUUUUUCUUUUUAUUAUUAAUUUUUUUCUGUUAAGGUUUGAGUGAAUAUUUGUUAUUUACCUUUUGUAUAAGGGGGGCUAGAUCUUUUUUAAUUUUAUUUUUUUAGAAUCUUUGAGAUUUUUAAUUUUUUAUUUUUUGUGAGAUUGUUUUAAAUUUAGUUAAUGUGGCUAUAUGCUUUCGUUCUUAGGGUUAUCUAUUUAAAAAGAGAAGUGGGGGUAAGCCCCUUUUUUUCUUAUUUAAUUGUUUUUUUUUAUUUUUCUCUAAUAGUUGGGUUUUGUGUAAUAACUUUUAUUUUUUAAUUCUUAAGAUUUUUUUUUAUUUUUAUUAAUUUCUUUUAAUUAGAUUAUUAGUAUAGUUUUUUUUCUUUUUCUUUUUAUUUUUUUUUCUUUUGUUUAUUUUUUAUUUUUUAAUUAUUACUUUUUGAAAAGUUUAUUAAAAUCCUUUCUUACUUUUUGUAAGUCUCUUCUGCCCAGUGAGAAUUACUUAAAUGGCUGUGGUUUCCACACUAAGGUAGCGAAAUCACUAGUUACUUAAUUGGUAACUUGUAUGAGGGGGGUUUUCAACGGGUUAUUGUUUUAUUUUUGUAAAUUAUAUUUUUUUUGAAAAUAAUAACUUAUUCUUUAAGACAAAAAGACCCUAGAAUUUUUAUAGUUUUAUUUGGUUGGGGCAACAAUAAGUAUUUUUAAUACUUAAAAUUUUAUUUUUUAAGGACUUUUAUUAAAGAUGGGUGGAAAAAUACUCUAGGGAUAACAGCUUUAUACUUUUUUAAAGUUCUUAUAGUUAAAGGGUUUUGGGACCUCGAUGUUGGAUUGGGGUGGGUUUGUGGUGCAGAAGCUUUAUUGACCUAGACUGUUCGUCUAUUAAAUCCCCACAUGAUCUGAGUUAAAGUCGGCGUGAGCCAGACUGGAUUUUAUCUAAAGUUUAUUUAGAGAGUUACUUUCUAGUACGAAAGGAUUGUUUGUUUUUUAUACUAUAUUAUAGUUGGUGAAGAAUGUUA
rnacentral:rRNA from 1 species